UACGUAGGUGGCAAGCGUUAUCCGGAUUUAUUGGGCGUAAAGGGAACGCAGGCGGUCUUUUAAGUCUGAUGUGAAAGCCUUCGGCUUAACCGGAGUAGUGCAUUGGAAACUGGGAGACUUGAGUGCAGAAGAGGAGAGUGGAACUCCAUGUGUAGCGGUGAAAUGCGUAGAUAUAUGGAGGAACACCGGUGGCGAAAGCGGCUCUCUGGCCUGUAACUGACACUGAGGCUCGAAAGCGUGGGUAUCGAACAGG
rnacentral:rRNA from 1 species